UUUAGUAUGAGUUAGCCGACAAAUAAUUUCCAAAGGAAAUGUCGAAUAUUGUUAAAUUUCUGCUGCAUGGAGGUGAAAAUGUGAAAACGCAGUCUAGGAGCUUGAGUUAAAUCCAUAUUUAUUCAGCUGGCUAUAUUUAGAGGACAGCCACAAUUGCUUUUGGACAAAGUCCCUUAGGAAGAUAUAGAUGGACCAGUUCUAAGUUGAAUACACUGAUUAUUUUAGCUUUCAUUUUAGUAUGCUUUAUUUAUUACAUGUCAAUAUACUAAAUUAAUGUGAUGAUAUUGCCUUCAUUAUACAGUAUCUUACCCAUGUUUGUAACUUCUGCUCUAAUAAAUAGUAAUAAAAGAAGUUUGUAAUUGUUCAUGGUAGAUUGGUUUUCCCCUACUGUGUUUGAUAUUGGUGUUUCCUACAGGCUUCUAAGCCAGGCUUUAUCUGUCUUCUCUGUCCACAUGUUCAGAUGUUGAGUGCCUUUUCAGGAUCAUGAAUGACAAAUGGUUGCUACUUAGACAAAGUACUGUUAAUCUAUUACUUUUAUCUAAAAAGAUCUUAUUUUCUUGACAAAAAUAUUUUCUGACUAUUUUGGAGAACAACUAUGCCCGUCUUUAGUCUGCUUUUUAGUAUUUUAUACAGUUGUAAUGAAGAUCAACUAUUGUAUUUGUUGACCGUGUAAAAUGUUUCAGUUGCACCGAUAUGACAUACCAAGGGUGUUUUUCUCUAUGCAAUAUUUACAGAUUUAAAAAAAAAAGGACAAAACUUCCCCCUCCGAUCUCUAGACAGUUCUGUGUGCAUAAAUAUGCAUUUCCCAUGAGACGGUCUUUCACUUGCAGGUGGCAUUAUUUAGAACCUAUUCUCAGGUAUUUUAAUUCCUCACUUUUCUUACCUGUACACUUAAUUUGAGCCCCGUCCUUCCAUUUGCUGGACUGUUUGGUGUAAUUUUGUUUAUUAUACUGAAAGCAUAUCUUUAAAGAUGCAUCUAACAGUUUGUUGUAAAACUCUUUAAAUACAUAGCUUCAUAGAUUAAGCUUCCAUAGUGCUCAGGAAUAAACAUCACAUCUCAAUUAUGAAAUGUAAAGAA
rnacentral:lncRNA from 1 species